UACGUAGGGUGCGAGCGUUGUCCGGAUUUAUUGGGCGUAAAGGGCUCGUAGGCGGCCAACUAAGUCAGACGUGAGAUCCCUCGGCUUAACCGGGGAACUGCGUCUGAUACUGGAUGGCUUGAGGUUGGGAGAGGGAUGCGGAAUUCCAGGUGUAGCGGUGAAAUGCGUAGAUAUCUGGAGGAACACCGGUGGCGAAGGCGGCAUCCUGGACCAAUUCUGACGCUGAGGAGCGAAAGCCAGGGGAGCAAACGGG
rnacentral:rRNA from 1 species